rnacentral:misc_RNA from 1 species
GAAGAAUCCUCGCCCUCUCGAUGAGGACGAUAUUGCUCUUCUCAAGACUUAUGGGUUGGGACCUUAUUCAACCUAUAUCAAGAAGGUAGAGAAAGAAAUCAAGGAUAUGGCAAAGAAGGUCAAUGAUUUAUGUGGCAUUAAGGAGUCUGACACCGGUUUAGCAGCUCCAAGCCAAUGGGAUCUUGUAUCUGAUAAGCAAAUGAUGCAGGAAGAGCAACCUCUUCAGGUGGCGAGAUGCACAAAGAUCAUCAAUCCAAAUUCUGAAGAUGCCAAAUAUGUUAUUAAUGUUAAGCAAAUUGCCAAGUUUGUUGUCGGACUUGGUGACAAAGUUUCGCCAACAGAUAUAGAAGAAGGCAUGCGUGUAGGU